rnacentral:rRNA from 1 species
UUUCCAGGUUGAUCCUGCCGGAACAAGGGACUUUCCUGCUGGGGAAUUGGAUUCAACGCCGGGGUUCGGCUGAUCCUGCCGGAAUUGGAGUCAACGCCGGAGUUCCAGUUGAUCCCGCCGGAAUAGGAUUCAACGCCGGAGUUCCGGUUGAUCCCGCCGGAAUUGGAGUCAACGCCGGGGUUCCGGUUGAUCCUGCCGGAAUUGGAUUCAACGCCGGAGUUCCGGUUGAUCCCGCCGGAAUUGGAGUCAACGCCGGGAUUCCGGUUGAUCCCGCCGGAAUUGGAGUCAACGCCNCCCNGGAGCCUGCCGGAAUUGGAUUCAANNCGCCGGAAAUUCNNCGGUUGAUCCCGCCGGAAUUGGAUUCAACGCCGGAGUUCCGGUUGAUCCUGCCGGAAUUGGAUUCAACGCCGGAGUUCCGGUUGAUCCCGCCGGAAAUUGGAGUCAACGCCGGGGUUCCGGUUGAUCCCGCCGGAAUUGGAUUCAACGCCGGAGUUCCGGUUGAUCCUGCCGGAAUUGGAUUCAACGCCGGUUUCCGGUUGAUCCUGCCGGAAUUGGAUUCAACGCCGGGGUUCCGGUUGAUCCUGCCGGAACAAGGGACUUU